rfam:[Clostridium] thermoalcaliphilum strain DSM 7309 CLOTH_contig000010, whole genome shotgun sequence.
UGUGGUUACUAUAGCAAAGAGGAUACACCUGUUCCCAUUCCGAACACAGAAGUUAAGCUCUUUUGCGCCGAUGGUACUUGGAGGGAAGCCUCCUGGGAGAGUAGGACGUAGCCACAU